AAUCAGCACACCUAUGAAGCGCAAUACUGUUUCAAGUCUCUGAAAAUCAUUCGUGAUACAUGGUUCGAUGACCAAUUCUAUAGGAGUUAUUUUAUGUGGGACUCAUUUAUGUCGGGUAUAUCUGCUUCAAUCAUGCGUAAACAACAUAACCACCAAGGAGAAAAUGAAUUCGCUGAAAUGGAGUAUAUCAAUGUUACUGUAGUUACUUCAAAUAAGCCAUAUGGUGUAUCUGAUGGAUCAAAUCCAUUCUUUGAUGGUAAUAAAACUCCAAGGUUCAACUUAGAAAGAAAUGGAGUUCACAGCGGCCAUGUUCAGACGAGA
rnacentral:misc_RNA from 1 species